UACGUAGGGUGCAAGCGUUAAUCGGAAUUACUGGGCGUAAAGCGUGCGCAGGCGGUGAUGUAAGACAGGUGUGAAAUCCCCGGGCUCAACCUGGGAAUGGCGAUGGAUACUGGCGAGCUAGAGUGUGUCAGAGGAUGGUGGAAUUCCCGGUGUAGCGGUGAAAUGCGUAGAGAUCGGGAGGAACAUCAGUGGCGAAGGCGGCUCGCUGGGCAGUGGCUGACGCUGAGGCGCGACAGCGUGGGGAGCAAACAGG
rnacentral:rRNA from 1 species